rnacentral:rRNA from 1 species
UACGUAGGGCGCAAGCGUUGUCCGGAAUUAUUGGGCGUAAAGAGCUCGUAGGCGGCUUGUCACGUCGGGUGUGAAAGCCCGGGGCUUAACCCCGGGUCUGCAUUCGAUACGGGCUAGCUGGAGUGUGGUAGGGGAGAUCGGAAUUCCUGGUGUAGCGGUGAAAUGCGCAGAUAUCAGGAGGAACACCGGUGGCGAAGGCGGAUCUCUGGGCCAUUACUGACGCUGAGGAGCGAAAGCGUGGGGAGCGAACAGG